rnacentral:lncRNA from 1 species
UCCUCCACAUCAAGAAAUUUUUUUUUACAUCAAACUUCUCAAAAUCAAUCUUCAGCCCACUGCUCAUGAUGUCUCAACACCAAAAUCACAAACAACAUAGAUUUGAUUGAGAAAAAAUAUUAUUGAUAGGCAACUUCAAAUCCUGACAUCUCCUCCCUUCUCCACACUCAACUUUGCUCUGAUACCAAUUGUUGUGCACCUUUUUUAGGUCGUGAAAUUUGAGAAUACCAACAAAAUUCAUACGAAAGAGGCGGCACCAGAGUUUUGCUUGAGAAGGAAAUGCCUCCAUUCUUUCCAACCUUUGGAGGUGGCGGCUCGGGUUUGG